AUGCUUUCCAUGCUUUCAUGUUAUAAAAGUGGGGAAUUUAGGAAAACAACUUUUCUAAAUGGACAUUGUUUGUUUUUCCUUUUCUUCUGUUCCCUUCUUCACUCUAGGAAAUGUAAAGUCUUGGAAGACACGUGAUCUCUAGUGACAAACUGAAAGGGAGUAAUUUACUGUUCAAGUGUCGAGUGUGAUCGUAACACAGGAGUUAAUGAACAAAAUGCUUUAAGGAAUGAAUGUGAUCCUGGAAGAAAACUGAGGUAAGACGUUGCAUGUUCUUGCGUGAAUAACUCCACAGAACCCCCAAGUGCAGAA